AGAAAAUUAGUUAACUUAUAACAUUGGCUUGUCAUGCCAAAAUGAUCAAAAGAUAUUUUCUU
rnacentral:tRNA from 1 species